GCCUCCGGGCAGUGUGUCCAGGCCCUCCCUGUCCAGCUGAUGCAGGCUGGCCCCUCACAUUCUCCAGCUGACAGCCAGGCCGGGAGCGAGGAGGUCACAGGUCAUGGCCGGGCACUGGGGCCCUGGAGCUCACAAAGCGGGAGCUGCUUCCCUGGGCAACAUGAGUUUCUGGAAAGCAGUCUCUUGUAUUUGUCAAUGACUGGAUUACAGAGGACAUCGGGCAAUCUUAAUCAGCAGUCUGGAGAUUCAUGACCCCUCUCCACAGCCUGACUCCAGGGUACACGGGUAAGAUAAUAGUGACAACAGCCAUGAAACGAAGGGGGCUGGUUUUCCAUGACCCCACACAUUCUGCCUAAGGCCACGCACCUCCCAAAGGCCACGAUGGAUGAGCAGGCGGGCCUGGGCACUCAGGUUUUUCUGGCUCACAGGUAGAAGUGACUUGCCUUGUCUUAGAUGAGACUUUGGACUUUGAACUUUUGAGUUAAUGCUGGAAUGAGUUAAGACUUUGGGGAACUAUUGGGAAGGCAUAAUUGUAUUUUGUAAUGUGAGAAGGACAUGAGAUUUGGGAGAGGCCAGGGGUGGAAUGUUAGAGUUUGAAUAUUUGUCCCCACCCAAAUCUCAUAUUGAAUUGUAAUCCCCAAUGCUGAAGGUGGGGCCUGGUGGGAGAUAGUUGGGUCAUAGGGGCAGAUCCCUCAUGGCAUGGUGUUGUCUUUGAGACAAUGAGUGAGUUCUCAUGAGAUCUGGUCAUCUAAAAGUGUGUGGCACCUCCCUCCCCACUCCCACUCUCUCUUGCUCCUGCGUUUGCCAUGUGAUGCUCCUGCUCCUG
rnacentral:lncRNA from 10 species